ensembl:lncRNA CCDC144BP coiled-coil domain containing 144B, pseudogene
GUUGAAGAAGAAAUGGAGAAGCACAGAAGUAAUAGCACAGAAUUAUCAGGAACCCUAACUGAUGGUACUACUGUUGGCAAUGAUGAUGAUGGACUAAAUCAGCAGAUUCCUAGGAAGGAAAAUGAAGAGCAUGACAGGCCUGCAGAUAAAACAGCUAAUGAAAAGAACAAGGUCAAAAACCAAAUAUAUCCUGAGGCUGACUUUGCUGACUCAAUGGAGCCAUCUGAAAUAGCCUCAGAGGAUUGUGAAUUGUCUCACUCUGUUUAUGAGAAUUUUAUGUUGCUGAUUGAACAACUUAGAAUGGAGUAUAAAGAUUGAUUGCAGGCCGGGUGCAGUGGCUCACGCCUGUAAUCCCAGCACUUUGGGAGGCUGAGGCGGAUGGAUCACGAGGUCAGGAGAUCGAGACCAUCCUGACCAAUACGGUGAAACUCUGUCUCUACUAAAAAUACAAAAAAUUAGCAGGGCGUGGUGGCAGGCUGAAGCAGGAGAAUGGCGUGAACCUGGGAGGCGGAGCUUGCAGUGAGCCGAGAUCCCGCCACUGCACUCCAGCCUGGGCGACAGAGCGAGACUCCGUCUC